AGUGAACGCUGGCGGUAGGCCUAACACAUGCAAGUCGAACGGCAGCACAGUAAGAGCUUGCUCUUACGGGUGGCGAGUGGCGGACGGGUGAGGAAUACAUCGGAAUCUACUUUUUCGUGGGGGAUAACGUAGGGAAACUUACGCUAAUACCGCAUACGACCUACGGGUGAAAGCAGGGGAUCUUCGGACCUUGCGCGAUUGAAUGAGCCGAUGUCGGAUUAGCUAGUUGGCGGGGUAAAGGCCCACCAAGGCGACGAUCCGUAGCUGGUCUGAGAGGAUGACCAGCCACACUGGAACUGAGACACGGUCCAGACUCCUACGGGAGGCAGCAGUGGGGAAUAUUGGACAAUGGGCGCAAGCCUGAUCCAGCCAUAGCGCGUGGGUGAAGAAGGCCUUCGGGUUGUAAAGCCCUUUUGUUGGGAAAGAAAAGCAGCAGGUUAAUACCCCGCUGUUCUGACGGUACCCAAAGAAUAAGCACCGGCUAACUUCGUG
rnacentral:rRNA from 1 species